GCAGCUGUGGCUGAGUGGUUUAAGCGAUGGACAAGAAAUCCAUUGGGGUCUCCCCGCACAGGUUCGAAUCCUGUCGACUGCG
rnacentral:tRNA from 1 species